GUGCCAGCAGCCGCGGUAAUACGGAGGGUGCAAACGUUGCUCGGAAUCAUUGGGCGUAAAGCGCACGUAGGCGGGUUGUCAAGUCGGAUGUGAAAGCCCUCGGCUUAACUGAGGAAGUGCAUUCGAAACUAGCAGCCUUGAGUACAGAAGAGGGUCGCGGAAUUCCCGGUGUAGAGGUGAAAUUCGUAGAUAUCGGGAGGAACACCAGUGGCGAAGGCGGCGACCUGGGCUGAUACUGACGCUGAGGUGCGAAAGCGUGGGGAGCAAACAGGAUUAGAAACCCUCGUAGUCC
rnacentral:rRNA from 1 species